rnacentral:lncRNA from 1 species
GCCAUCGCACCUUGGUGGCGACUCAAAGGGGUUAUGUGGGAGCGAGACAGAGAUUUACCCAGGUUCGCCCCCUCGUGAGGAGGUAAAAGCCUACGUCCUGCUUUGUGUUGUAUUGAUGGUGUUUCGAUUACAAGGAGGGCGUAACUCGCCUAACCUAGCACUCGAUGAUUUCUAACCUACCCUCUCCUUCCCUGGGACUCGCCUUUGUAUACAGGUCGAGUCCUUAGGGUUUACAAGGGUCCUUUCCUUUUCACAAAUCGUGACUCUUAAGAUCUCUAAGUCGCCAUCUUUCCAAGACUUGGAGACCUCUACUAUGGACUCCUCCCGAAGGUCUUGAACCGCCAUACGACUUCCGGCUUUACUGGGCCAAAGCCAGAACCACUUGGAGAUGAGUCGCCAGCUUUGGUGACCCGGCCCAACUAGGGCGGGUUACCCAAUGGAUAAUAUCCCCAACAUUAGGCCCUAGAUUGACUUGAAUUUCUUUCACGCCAAUAUCCUCACUCAGUUAGGGGCGAUUCAUCUUCACUCUUCUUAUGCACCGUACACUUAAACCGCCAUCUGUUGCGGAAAAACUCAAGUCGCCAAAACCACUUCUUGUUGGCGCCUUCUUAUCCCUUGAAUCUUGGAAGAGAUGAUGACGUAAUCUCCAACGGAUCCUUCGGUAUCGUUAUCCCAAAAAUUUCGGGGCGCCAUCAUGGUG